rnacentral:rRNA from 1 species
UACAGAGGGGCAAGCGUUGUUCGGAAUUACUGGGCGUAAAGGGCGCGUAGGCGGCCUGCUAAGUCGAACGUGAAAUCCCUGGGCUCAACCCAGGAACUGCGUCCGAUACUGGUUGGCUUGAAUCCGGGAGAGGGACGUGGAAUUCCAGGUGUAGCGGUGAAAUGCGUAGAGAUCGGGAAGAACAUCAGUGGCGAAGGCGGCCUGCUGGGCUGUUGCUGACGCUGAGGCGCGGACAGCGUGGGGAGCAAACAGG